AUUGAACGCUGGCGGCAGGCCUAACACAUGCAAGUCGAGCGGAUGAAGGGAGCUUGCUCCUGGACUCAGCGGCGGACGGGUGAGUAAUGCCUAGGAAUCUGCCUGGUAGUGGGGGAUAACGCCCGGAAACGGGCGCUAUUACCGCAUACGUUCUGAGGGAGAAAGUGGGGGAUCUUCGGACCUCACGCUAUCAGCUGAGCCUAGGUCGGAUUAGCUAGUUGGUGGGGUAAAGGCCUACCAAGGCGACGAUCCGUAACUGGUCUGAGAGGAUGAUCAGUCACACUGGAACUGAGACGCGGUCCAGACUCCUACGAGGGGCAGCAGUGGGGAAUAUUGGACUAGGGGCGAGUGCCUGAUCGAGCCAUGGCGCGUGUGUGAAGAAGGUCUUCGUAGUGUAAAGCACUUUGAGUUGGGGGGAAGGGCAGUAAGUUAAUACCUUGCUAUUUUGACGUUACCAACAGAAUAAGCACCGGCUAACUUCGU
rnacentral:rRNA from 1 species